rnacentral:rRNA from 1 species
GGUAACAGGAAGCAGCUUGCUGCUUCGCUGACGAGUGGCGGACGGGUGAGUAAUGUCUGGGAAACUGCCUGAUGGAGGGGGAUAACUACUGGAAACGGUAGCUAAUACCGCAUAACGUCGCAAGACCAAAGAGGGGGACCUUCGGGCCUCUUGCCAUCGGAUGUGCCCAGAUGGGAUUAGCUAGUAGGUGGGGUAACGGCUCACCUAGGCGACGAUCCCUAGCUGGUCUGAGAGGAUGACCAGCCACACUGGAACUGAGACACGGUCCAGACUCCUACGGGAGGCAGCAGUGGGGAAUAUUGCACAAUGGGCGCAAGCCUGAUGCAGCCAUGCCGCGUGUAUGAAGAAGGCCUUCGGGUUGUAAAGUACUUUCAGCGGGGAGGAAGGGAGUAAAGUUAAUACCUUUGCUCAUUGACGUUACCCGCAGAAGAAGCACCGGCUAACUCCGUGCCAGCAGCCGCGGUAAUACGGAGGGUGCAAGCGUUAAUCGGAAUUACUGGGCGUAAAGCGCACGCAGGCGGUUUGUUAAGUCAGAUGUGAAAUCCCCGGGCUCAACCUGGGAACUGCAUCUGAUACUGGCAAGCUUGAGUCUCGUAGAGGGGGGGUAGAAUUCCAGGUGUAGCGGUGAAAUGCGUAGAGAUCUGGAGGAAU